CAGUAGCUCAGCUGGAUAGAGCAACGGACUUCUAAUCCGUAGGUCGGGGGUUCGAAUCCCUCUUGGC
rnacentral:tRNA from 1 species